rnacentral:rRNA from 1 species
UCAUGGCUCAGGACGAACGCUGGCGGCGUGCUUAACACAUGCAAGUCGAGCGGUAAGGCCCUUCGGGGUACACGAGCGGCGAACGGGUGAGUAACACGUGGGUGAUCUGCCUCGUACUNUGGGAUAAGCCUGGGAAACUGGGUCUAAUACCGGAUAUGACCACGAAUCGCAUGGUUUGUGGUGGAAAGAUUUAUCGGUGCGAGAUGGGCCCGCGGCCUAUCAGCUUGUUGGUGGGGUAAUGGCCUACCAAGGCGACGACGGGUAGCCGGCCUGAGAGGGCGACCGGCCACACUGGGACUGAGACACGGCCCAGACUCCUACGGGAGGCAGCAGUGGGGAAUAUUGCACAAUGGGCGGAAGCCUGAUGCAGCGACGCCGCGUGAGGGAUGACGGCCUUCGGGUUGUAAACCUCUUUCGACAGGGACGAAGCGCAAGUGACGGUACC